rnacentral:rRNA from 1 species
UACGUAGGGUGCAAGCGUUAAUCGGAAUUACUGGGCGUAAAGCGUGCGCAGACGGUUGCGUAAGUCAGAUGUGAAAGCCCCGGGCUCAACCUGGGAAUUGCAUUUGAGACUGCGUAGCUAGGGUGCGGAAGAGGGAAGCGGAAUUUCCGGUGUAGCGGUGAAAUGCGUAGAUAUCGGAAGGAACACCAGUGGCGAAAGCGGCUUCCUGGUCCAGCACCGACGUCAGGCACGAAAGCGUGGGGAGCAAACAGG